rnacentral:rRNA from 1 species
CAGCAGCCGCGGUAAUACAGAGGGUGCGAGCGUUAAUCGGAUUUACUGGGCGUAAAGCGUGCGUAGGCGGCUUUUUAAGUCGGAUGUGAAAUCCCUGAGCUUAACUUAGGAAUUGCAUUCGAUACUGGGAAGCUAGAGUAUGGGAGAGGAUGGUAGAAUUCCAGGUGUAGCGGUGAAAUGCGUAGAGAUCUGGAGGAAUACCGAUGGCGAAGGCAGCCAUCUGGCCUAAUACUGACGCUGAGGUACGAAAGAAUGGGGAGCAAACAGGAUUAGAUACCCGAGUAGUCCCUGUCUCUUAUAC